UCCACGUGACCGUUCACCGUUAUCCGGCUCUGUUUCCGGUUUACCUCCACCGAUUUCACGCCUGUACCGGUCGGUUCCAAACAUGAAAAAGUUAGCAUACGGAGAGAAGUACAUUAUACGCUGACAUGACGUUGAACCCGUGCUUACUUUUUUGUAUAAUUUAUAAGUUAACUUUAUACUGAAGAUUUAGAAUCUUCCAUCUAUGUAUACCUCUUUGUUUUCUUCCUUGAAUGAAUGCAGUGAGAAAAAUAAUAAUAAGCUAACUUUAUACUGAAACAUAUCAUAGAAUUUUUAAAUCGUUCGUAGAAUCUAAGCGACUUGUGUUGGACAGCUCUUGAUUUGACUCUGUGGUCUUUACAGCUUUAAAUCAACCGUUGGUUUUUUUUUUUUUUGCUCAAAAAAAAAAAAGCUAUCAGAAUCCAAAACAAUUGCCACAAUUUGUAUUAUUUUUGUUUUAGAAUAACUUCAACUGGAUAGUGUAGGAUUUUUAAAGUAAAGUCCAGACUGUCAACUUAUACUAUACGAAUUCGAACUAUUGUAUUUUUGGUUCGGAUAAUAUACUAAAAAAAAAUGGAUGAAGUUACUAAAAAUUGGAGUUGACAAACAAAAAAACCAUCUUUCUAUUCAGAGAAGUGGGCUAAAAACUACCUGCCCAAAAAUACUUCUCAAACAGAAUAUGGUUAUUUAAUUUUAUGACAAAUUUGAUUAUAUAUCAGCUGUGAGAGCCAUGAAAUCACCGCAGUCGUCUACUCACAAGUGUUUGAUGUCAUCAACAUAUAAAAAGCAUCCCAAGAAACUCUUAUUACAAACUUAGCACCGUACAAUUUCAAAAAUCUUUUUAACACA